rnacentral:lncRNA from 10 species
CUGGCAUCAGCCUCUGCAUAGACAAUCACAAGCCAAUAGAGAGGGAAUGGAAACAGCACUCUAUUGAUCUUGGCUUAUUUAUUCAUAAACUAGGAAAGCAGUUGAACAGCUAUGCGAGAAGCCUACUUUCUCUUCAUGUAACACGUUGGCCUAAGAGAUCUAUAGAGCUUUUUAAAAACAAAGAAGGCAGCAAGAUUUAAAAUAAUAAAACCAGCAAUAGGUAUUUUUAAAAGUGAGAGAAACUAUCAGAGAGCUGUAGCAGAAAAGCAAGUUAAAAAUAAAGGAAACAGAAAAGGAACUGAUACAGCUGAUUUGAUACUGGAAAAAUCACCCAGGAGGCAGCGUGGACAAUGGAUUGGAGAAGGGCGAACAUUCAGUCAGAGACUUUGUGAGCUUACUGUAAAUUAGAGGGAGCAAAUUGGAGGAGAAAUGACAAAAGAAACAGAAAAAAUGUUUAAUCAGACAAAGGAACUAAAAAACCUCAGUCUUAAUUAGAAGAUGGUCAAACAAAUCUCUUAACUGAUGUUCACAAUGAUGGUUUCAAGUCAUCUAAGGAAUGGCUGGCUCUUGGAUGGAUGUUUGGCUGAAACAUUUUACCAUCCUGGACACCAUGCUUACUUUAAAUGAUUCCAGG